rnacentral:rRNA from 1 species
CAGUAGCCGCGGUAAAACGGAGGGUGCAAGCGUUAAUCGGAAUUACUGGGCGUAAAGCGCACGCAGGCGGUCUGACAAGUCAGAUGUGAAAUCCCCGGGCUUAACCUGGGAACUGCAUUUGAAACUGUCAGGCUGGAGUCUUGUAGAGGGGGGUGGAAUUCCAGGUGUAGCGGUGAAAUGCGUAGAGAUCUGGAGGAAUACCGGUGGCGAAGGCGGCCCCCUGGACAAAGACUGACGCUCAGGUGCGAAAGCGUGGGGAGCAAACAGGAUUAGAUACCCGUGUAGUCCCUGUCUCUUAUAA